GACGAACGCUGGCGGCGUGCUUAACACAUGCAAGUCGAACGAUGAAGCCGGAGCUUGCUCUGGUGAAUUAGUGGCGAACGGGUGAGUAACACGUGAGUAACCUGCCCUUGACUCUGGGAUAACUGCGGGAAACUGUAGCUAAUACCGGAUACGACCCUCGGAGGCAUCUCCUGGGGGUGGAAAGAAUUUCGGUCAAGGAUGGACUCGCGGCCUAUCAGCUAGUUGGUGAGGUAACGGCUCACCAAGGCGACGACGGGUAGCCGGCCUGAGAGGGUGACCGGCCGAGCUGGGACUGAGACGCGGCCCAGACUCCUACGGGAGGCAGCAGUGGGGAAUAUUGCACAAUGGGCGCAAGCCUGAUGCAGCAACGCCGCGUGAGGGAUGACGGCCUUCGGGUUGUAAACCUCUUUUAGCAGGGAAGAAGCGAAAGUGACGGUACCUGCAGAAAAAGCACCGGCUAACUACGUGCCAGCAGCCGCCGUAA
rnacentral:rRNA from 1 species